rnacentral:lncRNA from 13 species
GCCACACCCAGGAACAAAUCAGAAACUUCACCAGGCCAAAAGGAAGCCCAGCCCUAACCCAGAGGCAGAACUUCAGCAGGACUUUUUCUAGCAGCAGAGGAGAGCCAGUCCCUGAAGGGGAUAAGGAGAGGAUGUCAAUGUGGGAAGUCUUGAUGGAUGUCCAAGUUUCCCAGGUUCUAAAUUUAUUGUAAUUUAAUCAUGUUCAUCUCUGAGGACAGUACUAGGCGAUUGCUCUGCAGGGAAUUGAAGGCCCUUCGAUCAUCACUACCUGUCAAGCCUAGGAGCCUUGAAGGGAGGCAUUACCCCGUGAGAUUUGCUUGGCCCCACCUGCCCCUGGACCUCAUUUGCUUGCUCACUGUCAUCUCAGAUGCUACCACUGCCAUCACUUUAUCCUCUAACACUGCCAGCCAUCUCGGCCACCCCACAGAGCAGGAGCUGGGCUGUGGCAUGGCCUCCAGCAUGCCCACUGAGGUGUGAGGUUCAGCAGCUCCACUGCCUACAUCUAACCCAGCUGGAGGCUCUGGCUUUCCCUGCAGCUGCCUCAACGGUGAGUCUCUAAAUGAUAAGAAGCAAGAGGCUGGAAGGAGUCAGCAGAUAAGUUCUUCUUCACCUCUGCUUUUUCAAAGGACUGUUCCAAGAUCUUCCAACAGUGUUCCUUACCUUUCCUCCAAAGAUUUCCCAUGGGACCAAACAGCUCACUGUUGGUCUUCUUGUAAGGCUGUGGCAAACUCAGUAACACACGAGAGUUUGUAUUUCCUUUCCCUCCUUUCCUGCUUCCUCUUUUGUAGCCCUCAUUCUGGCCACCUUAGGACUGCACUUU